rnacentral:rRNA from 1 species
UACGUAGGGUGCGAGCGUUGUCCGGAAUUAUUGGGCGUAAAGGGCUCGUAGGCGGUUUGUCGCGUCGGGGAGUGAAAACUCAGGGCUUAACCCUGAGCCUGCUUCCGAUACGGGCAGACUAGAGGUAUGCAGGGGAGAACGGAAUUCCUGGUGUAGCGGUGAAAUGCGCAGAUAUCAGGAGGAACGCCGGUGGCGAAGGCGGUUCUCUGGGCAUUACCUGACGCUGAGGAGCGAAAGUGUGGGGAGCGAACAGG